CUAAACGGCCACGGCACUAAAACCGUGCAAAGGUAGCACAAUCACUUGCCCNNUAAAUGGGGGCCCGUAUGAAAGGCAACAUGAGAGAAGACCUGUCUCCUAGGGCCAGCCAAUGAAAUUGAACUACCAGUACAAAAGCUGGUAUUCACAAGCAAGACAAAAAGACCCUGGGGAACUUUAACAAGUUGUUCAAACAAAUUGAACA
rnacentral:rRNA from 1 species